GAGGAUCAGCAGCCUUAAAGCCAAGAAAAUUCCAGGUAUCCAACAGUAAAACAUUGGAGGACAGUGACCAUUGAGAACUUUAUAAAGCCAUGAUGACCACCACGCUUCUGAAUCACUAGGGUAAUCAAAACUCUGAAUAAACACUCACAUAACCAGUUGCCCUGACCUGAGUUGGCCUGCAGACCAGCAACAGGAAACAUCAGAGCCACCCCCCAGCUAACCUGCAGCUCCACAACCACGAGAUUAACCUGUCCUCUGAGUUCAACUCUGAAAAUUCUACUCCAAGUCCUUCAUUAAAGGUGGAAGAAAAUUUCAAACUCAAGCCAUCUUCUGCACAGAGGCUUUGGGAAAGUGUGCCCCAAGAGCGUCGACCAGCCUGCUUCUGGAAACACCAAGCAGUAAAUCAGCCAAUCGGAGGGCAUUAAAGUAAGACAACCAAGUUCACUGGAGUUGUUGGAAAAACUGUGUCAAUUGUUGUGUUUUGCUUUUUUGCAUUUUCCCAUUCAAUCCGACCAUAAUCCUAUUGGGGAAAAAAAUUAAUCUCUGCAUUACAGAGAAGGAAACUGAAAUCUGAAGAAAGCCAG
rnacentral:lncRNA from 1 species